rnacentral:tmRNA from 1 species
GGGGAUGCCACGGUUUUGACGUUGUGAUUGGUAUAUCCGGAUUGCGAGUCCGAGAGCUGUUCUCGGUUAUCAACGGGCAAACUAAAUUAAAUGCUAACGAUAACGUAGUUAGAGUUGACUUUGGUGCAAGAGCACUUGCUGCAUAGUUUCAGCAAUCAACCAUUCUUCCUGACCAGCUUGCCGUUAGGAAUAGAAUGACCGUAUGCAAGACGCAGUACGCAAAUGAUGGUAUGCGUAUCAAGUUAACCAUUGGAGGUUAGGCUUCCGUUAAAAAGUCUUUGACUUCGAUUAGGUUUUGUAAUUUUCCUUGCGAAAGUUGAGAUAAUAAGUUACUACACUCGUAGAUAUCAGUUUGUAUCCGCAUCGGACGCGGGUUCGACUCCCGCCAUCUCCA